UUUUAACAAUUUUUUUUUUGCCAUUUAGGUCUACCAGAGGAGAGAGGUAAAACGUUACAGCCUGUCUCUCUCCUUCAAAACCCUCUCUCAAGACACACACAGCAGGCCUUCGAACACCACAAACAUUGUCGCUUUUCCGAUCAAAACCUUGGUGGCAUUCAUCACGGGAAAGACAAAGUACAUGAGCGGGAGAUGAUGAUUUGUGGUGGUGAGCAACCAGAGCGACGAUAUGGGUAUAAGAAGAAAGCCCGAGCAUAAGAAAGGGUUUUGGACAAAGAGAGGUGCUGGCUCUAGGGUUCCGGCUGUUGGUCCUGGCAACGACCAUAACCGACGGUCCCGCGAGCCCAGUGGUGGUAGCGAUUUGGGUUGAUGUAAAACGGUGGAAGUGUUCAGGUUUUGACAGAGGAGUGACGACUGCCGUUUGAAGGCUUGGUAUUCCGGCGAGGUGUUUUCCGGUCUAGAUCCAGACAAUAUUCCGGGUUAUUCUAGACCUCCGACCAAAAUCCGGUGAACGACGGUGGUUGUAACGGUGAGUGGCGAAGAUGACACAAAUAUAAUGCGACGAGUAUCAUUGACGAGUGAAAUACUUCAAAGAGUACAAAUACUACAAGUUGGAUGGAUUGGCUAAAGUCCCAAAUGUCAACACAAGUUCAGCACCAAGCCAAACACCCACGUGGCAGGUUCCGUCGAUACAUCCGAUCUCCCCAGCUACAGUGUUCGGGUUGAAUCCUCCUAUUGUUUGCAGUAAUUCAAUUUAAGUAGCCGCAACGCGGCGACACGAAAAAAAACCUAGUUAGUUUAGUACUCAACAUUGUGACAAGAUUUCUUAGUACUCAACAUUGUAACAAAUGGAACAUUAAUACUUGAUUUUG
rnacentral:lncRNA from 1 species